rnacentral:rRNA from 1 species
AUUGAACGCUGGCGGCAUGCUUUACACAUGCAAGUCGAACGGUAACAGGUUAAGCUGACGAGUGGCGAACGGGUGAGUAAUGCAUCGGAACGUGCCCGGUCGUGGGGGAUAACGCAGCGAAAGCUGCGCUAAUACCGCAUACGAUCUGAGGACGAAAGCGGGGGACCGUAAGGCCUCGCGCGAUCGGAGCGGCCGAUGUCAGAUUAGGUAGUUGGUGGGAUAAAGGCUCACCAAGCCAACGAUCUGUAGCUGGUCUGAGAGGACGACCAGCCACACUGGGACUGAGACACGGCCCAGACUCCUACGGGAGGCAGCAGUGGGGAAUUUUGGACAAUGGGCGAAAGCCUGAUCCAGCAAUGCCGCGUGCAGGAAGAAGGCCUUCGGGUUGUAAACUGCUUUUGUACGGAGCGAAAAGGUCUCCUCUAAUACAGGGGGCUCAUGACGGUACCGUAAGAAUAAGCACCGGCUAACUACGUGCCAGCAGCCGCCGCCG